CUUGUGAGCAUGCUCACUGAAGCAGGGGGUGCAGUACAGAACAUUCCUGAAGCAGAGGGGCAGAGCUUAACAGAACCUUCUCAUGCGGGGACAGAGCUUAACAGAGCAUUUCUGAAAGAUCACACAGUUCAAACAGUCACAAACCAUUUUGAUACAUUGGGCGGGAGCCCAGCAACCCAAACUUACAUUUCCAAAACAACAUUCUGUGGGAAAAAAAUGGAGGCAAGGCAAGGGCCUAUCUUAUUGUGUAGCACUUCUCUAUCACCACCUGCCUCACAAGUGCAAGCUCCUCAGUUUGAUCCCUAGUACCAAAAAAAAAAAAAAAAAAGACUUAAGAUCCUGGCUUCAAUCCCCAGUACUGGGGAAAAAAAGGAAAAGAAAAAGAAAACAAAAGAAUUGAGCUGAACAACACUAUACACCACCCAGCUCUAACAGAUAUCAAUAGAACCCUGGACCCAGCAACCACAGAAUACACAUUUUUCUCAAGCUCACAUGGAAAUAUUCUCCAGGGAAGAUCUUAUGGAUCGAAUUCAGGACCUUGCACUCUCCCAGGCGCAGGCACCACUGAGCUAAAUCCCGGGCCCCCAUAGUAAGUUUUUAAAACUUACAUUUACUAUAUUUUUCCAUCACACCUCAUAGAAAGUAUUGGUAAUCAGAUGACCUAGGACUUCCCAACUGCAGCACUGACAUCUAAAAGACAAGAGAGCAAUGCCUUCAAAAUCUGAAGAAACUCCACUCCGCCCAAAGGAACCCAAACAAGGGCUCCAAAAGAUGGCUGCACAGUUCACCGCAAAGGUCACUCACAAAAGCCAAAAGAGCCAAGGAUGGAGCUCAGCAGCACUGCACCUGUCUGGCAAGCACAAGGUCCUGAAUUCAAUCCCCAGUACUGAAAACAAAACAAAACAAAACAAACUUCUAUCCAUGAACUUGUGAUUUAAAAAAAAGAAAUUGGUGCUAGUUUUGCUGUCA
rnacentral:lncRNA from 1 species